AACGAACGCUGGCGGCAUGCCUAACACAUGCAAGUCGAACGAGACCUUCGGGUCUAGUGGCGCACGGGUGCGUAACGCGUGGGAAUCUGCCCUUCGGUUGGGAAUAACUGAGAGAAAUUUCAGCUAAUACCUUAUAAUGUCUUCGGACCAAAGAUUUAUCGCCGAGGGAUGAGCCCGCGUAGGAUUAGGUAGUUGGUGGGGUAAUGGCCUACCAAGCCGACGAUCCUUAGCUGGUCUGAGAGGAUGAUCAGCCACACUGGGACUAAGACACGGCCCAGACUCCUACGGGAGGCAGCAGUGGGGAAUAUUGGACAAUGGGCGAAAGCCUGAUCCAGCAAUGCCGCGUGAGUGAUGAAGGCCUUAGGGUUGUAAAGCUCUUUUACCCGGGAUGAUAAUGACAGUACCGGGAGAAUAAGCUCCGGCUAACUCCGUG
rnacentral:rRNA from 1 species